UUGUAUCUGUUUCUUCUGCAGCGCAUACACGGUUAAAAUAUUUAACCGUGUAUGCGCUGCAGAAGAUACAGUACGU
rnacentral:pre_miRNA from 1 species